rnacentral:sRNA from 1 species
CACUUGUGCCGGAUUAAUAAAAUGCACAUGUGUGUCAAUUCCGCCUGCGGUCACAAUCAUACCCUCACCGGCAAUAAUUUCUGUGGAGGCACCGAUAAUAAUAUCGACUCCAUCCAUAACCAAAGGAUUUCCGCUUUUACCGAUUCCGGCUAUUUUCCCGUCACGAAUCGCGAUAUCUGCUUUAUAGAUUCCCGUGUAAUCUAAAAUAACCGCAUUUGUAAUGACCACAUCAGGUAUUCCAUCUCCUCGAGUUACAAGCGGAUGCUGCCCCAUCCCAUCACGAA